CUCUACAUCUGAGGAGCGUUAUUGAAACACGUUAUGCCUGUACUUCAGUCAAGAAGUAUUUGCUGAAACACCUGAUAUGUCAAUUUCAGCCGAGCGCGAGAUGUUCUAGGCAUGCCUGCAAUCAGCCUGCAAUGCCCUGCUAUCCCGUGAGAAAGAGCUGGACAAGCUGGACUCCGAGAGCUGCGACGGGGACUGUGGCGCUACACUGGCCGCUGGAGCGCACGCUGAACCCUCUGGACGCAGCAUGGCCAGCUACCGACCAAAGAACCAGCCGGCGCUGCUGCACGAGAUGCUGGAUGCCGUGUUGGCCUCCACGGCUGCCACGAAGACCAUGCGAGUCAAGGCCACCUGCAUGUCCUACGUGAACCCUGAGAUGCUCAAGAACGUGGACCCAGGGGGCACGUGCCGUCGAGAUCUGGAUGUCGCACGCCAUUCACGUGCUGCUCACCGAAGGAAACUCAGCGGCAGCAAAGGAGGCGGAGGAUUGCUGCCGCUGCAGUAGUCCAAUUGAUUUGCUGCAAUCCUGUUCAUGGCCGCAUUUUGCAUAUAGUAAAUGUUUUCUUUUUGUA
rnacentral:lncRNA from 1 species